GGCAAGAUGGCCGAGCGGUCUAAGGCGCUAGGGUCAGGUAACCUGAUCACAGAUAUUCGCUCUGUCAGAGCAGUAUUCCUAGUCACGCAAGUGGCGUGGGUUCGAAUCCCACUCUUGUCA
rnacentral:tRNA from 1 species